UGCUGUUCUCAGAGAAAGCAGGCUUGAACUCUAGUGACAUCUAGAAAUCUCUUUCUUGUUGCUCUAUUUACUGUAUCCACACAAAGUUACUAAAGUUUCUAGUUUAGCAGUAGCCACUCUGGGUUAUCAAUGUUCGAUUGAAAUCAGGAGUUGCUGAAAUCGCGUGAAAACUUCAAUUACCUUAGUCGACCCUACCUUACUUUAUUUUGCCACUUAUUUGGGAAAUCGAUUUCUUUCUAAUAUUUCUAAAGUGUUUCGAGACUUCGAUGUAACAGCGAGAGUUUUAUCAAAAUUAUCGAAGCCAAUUCUCCAAGAACAAAAUAAUGAAAGGAAGUAAUGAAAAGCGGAAUUAAAGAAGCGAAAAAAUGCUGCUAUUCACACUUCACUUCAUACUUCAGAGAUACUCGAAAAGAAAAUUAGCAAGGAAAUAUUAAAAAAAAAACUUUUCAAGACUAUAAGAUAGGAAAAACAAAAA